GAUGAACGCUGGCGGCGUGCCUAAUACAUGCAAGUCGAGCGAACAGAUAAGGAGCUUGCUCCUUUGACGUUAGCGGCGGACGGGUGAGUAACACGUGGGUAACCUACCUAUAAGACUGGGAUAACUUCGGGAAACCGGAGCUAAUACCGGAUAACAUUUGGAACCGCAUGGUUCUAAAGUGAAAGAUGGUUUUGCUAUCACUUAUAGAUGGACCCGCGCCGUAUUAGCUAGUUGGUAAGGUAACAGCUUACCAAGGCGACGAUACGUAGCCGACCUGAGAGGGUGAUCGGCCACACUGGAACUGAGACACGGUCCAGACUCCUACGGGAGGCAGCAGUAGGGAAUCUUCCGCAAUGGGCGAAAGCCUGACGGAGCAACGCCGCGUGAGUGAUGAAGGGUUUCGGCUCGUAAAACUCUGUUAUUAGGGAAGAACAAACGUGUAAGUAACUGUGCACGUCUUGACGGUACCUAAUCAGAAAGCCACGGCUAACUACGUG
rnacentral:rRNA from 1 species